rnacentral:lncRNA from 10 species
AAAAAUUAGCUGGGCAUGGUGGUGCACACCUAUAGUCCCAGCCACUUGGUAGGCUGAGAUGGGAGGAUCACUUGAACCCAGGAGGCUGAGGCUGCCAUGAGCCAUAAUCACAUCACUGCACUCCAGCCUGGGUGACAGAUUGAAGCCCUCCCUCUAAAAAAAUAUAACUAUUGUGAAGAUCGGUUAGGGGCCCAGUGUGGAAUGGGGUGGCUGCAGGCAGCAAGCGUAUCCAUGUGGUUUAGGGACACCUAUUCAGGCCACCUGCCUGACCACUGGCCCCAAUCAGGAGUGAACGAUUGGGUGCUAACAGGCCCUGGGCCUUGUGGGGGGUCUGUGUCCUGUUCCCCCUGGCAGUGCUGGAGGUGUGCCAGUUCUCGAGGGAUGCCUCUGUGGCUGAGGCGUGGCUGAUUGCCCAGGAGCCCUACCUGGCCAGCGGGGACUUUGGACACACAGUGGACAGUGUGGAGAAGCUCAUCAAGAGGCAUGAGGCUUUUGAGAAGUCCACGGCCAGCUGGGCAGAGCGCUUUGCUGCCCUGGAGAAGCCCACCACGCUUGAGCUGAAAGAACGCCAGAUUGCAGA